AUGUUGUGCUAUCGUUGUGGUGAGAAGGGCCACUUUAUCGCGGAAUGCAUGACUGAGCUUUGUGAUACCUGCCUCAAGCCAGCACAUGAUACAGGGGAGUGCCCAAUUUUGCGUGAUCAGAUGCCGACUAUUACCAUUUAUGGACUUUAUUGUGUUGAGUUGAAGUUCUUUGAGUCUCCUAGUGCGAGGAAGAUCCCAGAGGAGACCCAGAGCAUGACCACUGGGAUUGUGAAAUUUACCAAAAGUGAUGUCUCUGAGUAUCAAAUUGUGCAGAGGCUUAAGGAGUUAGUUCCAGGUGACUACCAGUGGGAGCUUGUCAGUCUCGAGGGCAACAUGUAUAAGGUUGACUUCCCUUCUGUUGAGGAUUUGCAGAAACUUUUGAGCUUCGUUUGUGCAGAGUGCCUGGCACACAAUGUAUCCUGGAGUUCCAUGAGGUGA
rnacentral:rRNA from 1 species